UAGACAGAGGCCUGUUGUUUUGGGCGCCUAACUGUUAAUUAGGAGUGUUGUGGGAUCAAAGCCCGCCUGUCUAG
rnacentral:tRNA from 2 species